rnacentral:rRNA from 1 species
UGAGGAAUUUUCUGCAAUGGGCGAAAGCCUGACAGAGCAAUACCGCGUGAGGGAAGAAGGCUUACUGAGUUGUAAACCUCUGUUACCUAAGGAGGAAGAUCUGACGUUACUUAGGAGACGAAGCAUCGGCUAACUCCGUGCCAGCAGCCGCGGUAAGACGGAGGAUGCAAGUGUUAUCCGGAAUUACUGGGCGUAAAGCGUCUGCAGGUGGUUUCUUAAGUCCACUGUUAAACCUUGAGGCUCAACCUCAAUUCAGCAUUGGAAACUGAGAAACUUGAGUAUAGUAGGGGUAGAGGGAAUUUCCAGUGGAGCGGUGAAAUGCGUAGAUAUUGGAAAGAACACCGAUGGCGAAGGCACUCUACUGGGUUAUUACUGACACUCAGAGACGAAAGCUAGGGGA